UUUGAUGGUGGCUGUGCGCAGGGCGCCCUUGGGCGCGCCGGUUUCUUAGGUUCACCGGUCUGCUAACCUGCGUGCAGCUGCCACCCUC
rfam:Pseudomonas sp. VI4.1 NODE_91_length_23358_cov_20.2394, whole genome shotgun sequence.